CAAAAUAAAAUUAUCUCAAAAGUAUUUUCUAAAGUUAAAUUUAUGAGUCGGAGAUAAAUUUUGUCUCAACAUUAUACAGUCAACUGGUAGACUGGUAGACAGUCUUAUAGGUCCAGUAUAAUACCAUGAGUAGUGUGAGGUUACGCUUCCGAAACACUGACUGCCUUUCCAAAAUUUCACAACGAUAUUUAUACUAAAAUCCCAAAUAAAUAAAUAUGUCUCGAC
rnacentral:lncRNA from 1 species